UGAUGAUGAUAAGGGGAAUUCUUGAGCAUUCCCUUGAAUCUUUCCCAAUCUUGGUAAAGAUUUUAUCAUCAUUUUGUUUGAAACUCAUUAUCUCACUUCUCAAACA
rfam:Capsicum annuum cultivar Zunla-1 chromosome 11, whole genome shotgun sequence